rnacentral:rRNA from 1 species
CCUACGGGUGGCAGCAGUCGAGAAUUUUUCACAAUGGGGGAAACCCUGAUGGAGCGACGCCGCGUGGGGGAUGAAGGGCUUCGGCUCGUAAACCCCUGUCAUUGGCGAACAAUUGUUACGUUCUAAUACGGCGUGACUUGAUAGUAGCCGAAGAGGAAGGGACGGCUAACUCUGUGCCAGCAGCCGCGGUAAUACAGAGGUCCCGAGCGUUGUUCGGAUUCACUGGGCGUAAAGGGUGCGUAGGUGGUUGGUUAAGUUUGAGGUGAAAGCUCCGAGCUCAACUCGGAAAAUGCCUUGAAGACUAUCUGACUAGAGGAUUGGAGGGGAGACUGGAAUUCUCGGUGUAGCAGUGAAAUGCGUAGAUAUCGAGAGGAACACCAGUGGCGAAGGCGAGUCUCUGGACAAUUCCUGACACUGAGGCACGAAAGCCAAGGGAGCAAACGGGAUUAGAUACCCUUGUAGUC